rnacentral:lncRNA from 1 species
GUUUUAUAGAUAAUAUUAAAAUAUUUGCUUCUGGUUUCUUUUUUACAUAUUUGUAUAAAUGCUUAGUUUGCAGAGUAUGAAAAUUGUAAGACAAAAUCAAUGGAUAGUAGAUGUUUCAGUUUGCACCUAUCAAUUUAUCUUUGCAAAACAAGAACUGUUUGUACCUGGAUAACAAUUAUUCUGAUUUUGUUAAGAAAUAGCCAAGACUUGUCACCCA